CUGGCGAUGUGGGAUGAACCAAAUGUUAAAGUUAAAGUGCCUAAAAUUUUAAUGCUCAUUCUAGAUACCAUAAAAGUGUGGCUUGAUCUAGACAGAAGGACGUGGUCAUGGAAGUCGAAAUCCGCUAAGAAGUGUGUAAAAAACUUACCUUUCGAAUUAAGUUGCCCUGAAAAUGGAUGGCGCUUAAGCAUUAAAAAGAUUUUUACUUAGACUUUACUAUUUUAUAUUCAGUAAAUUAAAAUAUGUAGGAGUGUUGUGUUAAUAAAUAGUGUCGAAAUUUUUUAUUUGAAAAAAAAGAAUGAAACUUUAUUAAGUGCAGAUCUUGGCUGUAGUAGCAAAUAUUUAAGUUGAAAUCUUAAAGACUGAAGUAGAGAAAGGUUCCAUAUGAACAGUAAUUGAAUAUGGGUAAGUCGAUACCUAAAAAAAUUAAUUUAAUUAUGUUUAAUUUUUUUUUUUUUUUAAAAAA
rnacentral:rRNA from 1 species